rnacentral:rRNA from 1 species
UACGUAGGUGGCGAGCGUUGUCCGGAUUUAUUGGGCGUAAAGCGAGUGCAGGUGGUUUAUUAAGUCUGGUGUAAAAGGCAGUGGCUCAACCAUUGCAUGCAUUGGAAACUGGUAGACUUGAGUGCAGGAGAGGAGAGUGGAAUUCCAUGUGUAGCGGUGAAAUGCGUAGAUAUAUGGAGGAACACCGGUGGCGAAAGCGGCUCUCUGGCCUGUAACUGACACUGAGGCUCGAAAGCGUGGGGAGCAAACAGG